rnacentral:lncRNA from 1 species
AGGGGUAGCGACAAGAAGAUUAAAAGAGGGAAGCAGAGGAGUUGGGAGCUGGCGGUCGUUCCCGGGGAAGAACUGCUAAAACAUGAGACCAAGGCACAGACCUUACUGUAUGAGAAGCAAUGCUCCUCAAACCUUCUGCGUGCUGACAUAGACCUUCCCAGAGCCAAACUGUUGGCGGCGACCUGAGCGCUGGAAGCCGAAGGGGAAGAGGAAGGAGACGCGAAGCCAGGGCGGCCGGCACAAAGGCGGCGGACUCGCGGCGGCAGCGCCUGCCCGGCCGGGAGCACAACCCGCGGCCCUACUCCAGCGAAGUCCCGCACCGGCUUCUAGGAAUAAAGUUUACGUUCUCCUGAGGCCGCACCCCCCACCUCCCACCCAGGACGGCACAUCUCCGUGUCCUCCUCCCCCAAACUCCACUCGGGACCCCGAGAACCACCCCAGCCUUCCGGCCACCACAACAAAGAGCCGCACCGAGCGGCGAGGAUAAACAGCGGCGGAGGGCGAGAGGGCGGCGGGGCGAGCGCCUCCACGCAGCAACUCCGGAGUCCCCCGCUUGCCCGAGCGCAGUUUCUCCGCUGCUGUUUCCACCGGCUUUGUAACACUGGGAAUUUACAUCCUCACCCGCACCCCUCACGCCCGAGGAUUUUAAACUCACCUUUACUCUCGAACUGAGAGUUGCGGUAGAUGGGAUUUUUGCCUUUUCCCCAGAUGGUUGAAGGUUAAGAUUUUUGGAAACCCCACCACCUCCUUAUUUCUAUUAUUAUUUCUGCAAGAAAAGUAUAAAGAGAGUUGUAGUGGAGGUGAGAUUUGUGAUCGGGAAAGCCUUCGACUCCCUCCUUCUCCGUCUUCCGCCUCUCUCUCUCUGAUUAGUUCCUAUCCAGCAGCAGAUUGAAGCAGGAGAUGAUUCUUCUCAAGGUUUGUUCAGCAGCUUCACUUCUAGGCGAAGGCUUCAUGAACCAAGUGACGUCAACCAACAAGGCUUCUCUCUCUCUCCUCUCUCUAACAAUGAAAGUUGCUGUUAACAAGGGAAAAAAAGAGAGAGAAUUGUUUAUACCAUUUCAGUUCCAAUAAUAAAUGACCUAUCAGCUCCUAAAGGAGCCAAGGGAGGGGGUUGCUUCUUCUUUCCAAGAAUACUGUAGCUUUGAGUUUGCACCGUUCCUUGUCCCAGGAAAAAGUUAAGAAACUUAAAAUGUUUUGUUUUGCUUUUAAAGAAGACAGGACAGAAAACGGGAUUUAAAACUUAGUUUUUUAAAAAACAAAAGCUACAGAGUAGGGAGCAUAGGUCAACCAUCUCCACCUAAACUUUUUUUGUUCCUAAACUCAGAAUUCUACAACCCAACUAAAUUAAUAUGCCAAGAUUUUGCGGAUGUUAAAACUCAAAAAAAGCAGUAUGCAAGACGGUCCCGGGGUAAAAUUCUACUGCCUUUCCACGGACAAGUUAAACUGGCUGUAAUGUUUAUGCACUAAGUUAAAAUAAAAUUUAAAUAAAAGACGUUAAAAUAGUCGUUUUAAAGUUAUAUGCACACACUGUAGAAGGUAAUCUCGAUAGCUGUUUUUCCAGUUUCUGAGAGAUUAGAAAAAAAGCAUAGCAAAUUGUAGGCACUGAACACUUUUUAAAAAUCAAGUUAUGAGUAAGACUGGUAGCCCUUUGCUCCUUUAAACUACAAAUGCAGUCAUAUGCUAUGGUCUACCCCCAGAAUCUCUUCCAACUUUGUUUUUACCCUUCCACUCCCCCAACCCCAAUUCCCAAAUCCUGCAACCAAUCAAGUUAAACUAAAGAUACAAUAGGCCCCAUUCCCUCCCGCACCCCAUCCUAUAGAUUCCUAAAAACAAUUUUUUUAAAAGCCUUAAUCUUGAUAACACUUUAUUAGCCAAGAAGAUACGUAUUUUUUUUUUUAGAACUUCGUUGAGGUACCGUUUUUUCCCUCCAGAUAUAGGUAAGUUGCAGACAAUUUACCUGUGAG